UCCCUUGUAGCUCAGUUGGUAAAGAAUCUGCCUGCAAUGCAGGAGACCCAGGUUCGAUUCCUGGUUCGAGAA
rnacentral:tRNA from 1 species